rnacentral:rRNA from 1 species
AUGCACGCUUCGAAGCUUCGGGUUCGUUCCGGAGUUGUGAGGAUUCGUUCGACUACGUCCGUUUGUCUUCUUCAUGGACUCGUUCUUCUUCCUUGCGGGAUUUCAGAUAAAAAAGACCUGAAAGUGAAAAAUGUGCUGCACUAUAACAAUCUCAUCGAAUGCCUUGAUCUUCAUAUUACAGAAAUUGAUUUGAUCGACUACCGAGGUAGCACAUCUGAGAUUAAAUUGGCCAGGUUCUUUGUUCUGGAGGCAAGUGUGCUCAAGGUAAUGAGGUUUGGCAUUCUCUUGCGCAACAAUGAAUGGCGUGAUGAUCACCGCAAGCGUCUAAGCCUAAAUGCCAAAGUCUCCACAGAAGCUAAAUUUGUUUUUGAAACAUCAAGUGGCCAGAGACUCGAAAACUUAUUUGCCCAUUAG